UACGUAGGGGCCUAGCGUUGUCCGGAAUUAUUGGGCGUAAAGAGCUCGUAGGCGGUUCGGCAAGUCGGAUGUGAAAUCUCCACGCUUAACGUGGAGGGGCCAUUCGAAACUGCUGUGACUCGAGUCCGGUAGGGGAGUGUGGAAUUCCCGGUGUAGCGGUGAAAUGCGUAGAGAUCAUGAGGAAGACCAGUGGCGAAGGCGGGUCUCUGGACAGUUCCUGACACUGAGGCACGAAGGCCAGGGGAGCAAACGGG
rnacentral:rRNA from 1 species